rnacentral:rRNA from 1 species
GGGGUGAAGCCUGCGGUUCAAUUGGAGUCAANCGCCAGAAUUCUUACCCCGGAGAGACAGCAGAAUGAAGGUCAAGCUGAAGACUUUACCAGACAAGCUGAGAGGUGGUGCAUGGCCGUCGCCAGCUCGUGCCGUGAGAUGUCCUGUUAAGUCAGGUAACGAGCGAGAUCCCUGCCUCUAGUUGCCACCAUUACUCUCAGGAGUAGUGGGGCGAAUUAGCGGGACCGCCGCAGUUAAUGCGGAGGAAGGAAGGGGCCACGGCAGGUCAGUAUGCCCCGAAACUCUGGGGCCACACGCGGGCUGCAAUGGUAGCGACAAUUGGUUUCGAAUCCGAAAGGAUGAGGUAAUCCACAAACGCUACCACAGUUAUGACUGAGGGCUGCAACUCGCCCUCACGAAUAUGGAAUCCCUAGUAACUGCGUGUCAUUAUCGCGCGGUGAAUACGUCCCUGCUCCUUGCACACACCGCCCGUCGUUUCAUUGAAGUGGGCUUUUAGCGAGGUGACGUCUGAUUGGCGUUAUCGAACUUGAGGUUCGUGACAAGGGAAAAGUCGUAACAAGGU